UGCUUCUAGACAUUGUUCUCUGCUCACUGAGAGCUUUCUGGAAUCCUGUUCCCUCUGCCAGGAUCAUCCUUCUCUCAAGUGGCCCCUGUCAUGAUGACCUGCUCCACAGGUUUCAUAAAGAGCAGCUGCAAUGGUGACAGGACCAUAACACCACUUGAAAUACAAACUCCUGGAAAUAAAGAGGAAUGAGAUCUAAGUGGUUUGUAAUAUCUCCACUUGGAGGCCCUUCAGUCCUAACAGAGGAAUGGAUGGCUAUCUUCUCGUCAUGGUAGUCUGGUCUAGGCAACAGUGACAUCAACUUGAAGUGUCUUCCCUACAACCAUAAUGGAUUUUCCUAUAGACCUCUGCCCCUCUC
rnacentral:lncRNA from 1 species